rnacentral:rRNA from 1 species
GCUGGCGGCACGCCUAACACAUGCAAGUCGAACGAAGUAGCAAUACUUAGUGGCAGACGGGUGAGUAACAUGUAGGUAUCUGCCCUUUGGCCUGGAAUAACACGAGGAAACUUGUGCUAAUACCGGAUAAGUCUUUACGGAGAAAGCUUUAUGCACCAUUGGAUGAGCCUGCACUUGAUUAGUUUGUUGGUAGGGUAAUGGCCUACCAAGACUUUGAUCAAUAGCUGAUUUGAGAGGAUGAUCAGCCACAUUGGGACUGAGACACGGCCCAAACUCCUACGGGAGGCAGCAGUGGGGAAUCUUGCACAAUGGAGGAAACUCUGAUGCAGCGAUGCCGCGUGAGUGAAGAAGGCCCUUGGGUUGUAAAGCUCUUUCGUCGGGGAAGAAAAUGACUGUACCCGAAUAAGAAGGUCCGGCUAACUUCGUGCCAGCAGCCGCGGUAAUACGAAGGGACCUAGCGUAGUUCGGAAUUACUGGGCUUAAAGAGUUCGUAGGUGGUUGAAAAAGUUGGUGGUGAAAUCCCAGAGCUUAACUCUGGAACUGCCAUCAAAACUUUUCAGCUAGAGUAUGAUAGAGGAAAGCAGAAUUUCUAGUGUAGAGGUGAAAUUCGUAGAUAUUAGAAAGAAUACCAAUUGCGAAGGCAGCUUUCUGGAUCAUUACUGACACUGAGGAACGAAAGCAUGGGUAGCGAAGAGGAUUAGAUACCCUCGUAGUCCAUGCCGUAAACGAUGUGUGUUAGACGUUGGAAAUUUAUUUUCAGUGUCGCAGCGAAAGCGAUAAACACACCGCCUGGGGAGUACG